rnacentral:misc_RNA from 1 species
AAAAGUCAUUCAGGGUGCGAAAUAUCAUCAUUCGGUUAUCGGGCCAAGACGGGAUCCGAACUCGGAGCUGAAAGGCCCUCUGUAGACCGACUGAGUUUCGCUGCCCUGGCUCCCCUGUCUUCCAGGUGCUUCCUCCGGGACUUCUGGUCCACGUGGCAACUCAUCCGGUUCCUCGUAUUCGUAAUCCUCCCUGGAACCCCUCGUCGAAUCUCCGUCUAUUCUGGCCCCCGCCCUCUGUUCGACAUCAUCCCCAUACUCCUCGAGAUCAGGCUGUUGGAACCUGGUCUCCUCCUCGUCGUCAGCGUCUCUGUGGUUCGGAGGAUAAGGAUUUACCUCACCCUUCCUGCCGCUCUGAUGCUGUUUUUUAAGCUGACCUAUCAGAUGGCUGUUCACGUUCCCCGCAGCUGCUAGGGCCGCGAGUUUCUCCGCAGCGUCGCGGCUCGGCAAGGUCGUAUAAAAUUGACUGGACAGACUACCGUCCCCGGUAAGUUGACUCAAGUAAAUUGUCUGCCCGUCCCGUUUCUCCUCGUACUCGAUGUGGUUCUCCGCGUCAACGGUGUCACCGGGAUACGAGGAGACCGAUGUACUCCUGACUAUGUCACGGUUAUCCGGCUCCAAACUGUAGUCCGCCGUUACGCGUCCCGAGGCGUAAUCCUGAC